rnacentral:snRNA from 1 species
GGAUGUGAGGGCGAUCUGGCUGCGACAUCUGUCACCCUAUUGAUCACCAAGGUUGAUUCGACUGAUCUGGCUGGCUAGGCAGGUGUCCCCUUCCUACCUCACCACUCCGUGGGUCCCUCCCAAAGCAGCGCCCUUGGUAGAAGAGGAUGGCCUUCCCUGAAUAGAGACAGACCCAGUCUUCGGUGGAGGGUAUAUGAGUAGCUGCACUGUCCUGCUAGAACUUCCAAACAAGCUCUCAAGAUAAUUCCGGAGAUAGUCUAUGUAGCAGCCUCCACUCUGCAAUGUGGGUUUGAUGUUCCUAUAAAU